GGAAUAUAGCUGAGUGGUAUAGUGCUUGCUUAGCAUGCAUGAAGCCCUGGGUUCAAUUCCUUAGUACCA
rnacentral:tRNA from 1 species